AUUGAACGCUGGCGGCAUGCUUUACACAUGCAAGUCGAACGGCAGCGCGGGCUUCGGCCUGGCGGCGAGUGGCGAACGGGUGAGUAAUGCAUCGGAACGUGCCCAGUAGUGGGGGAUAGCCCGUCGAAAGCCGGAUUAAUACUGCAUACGACCUGAGGGUGAAAGCGGGGGACCGAAAGGCCUCGCGCUAUUGGAGCGGCCGAUGUCGGAUUAGCUAGUUGGUGGGGUAAAGGCUUACCAAGGCGACGAUCCGUAGCUGGUCUGAGAGGACGACCAGCCACACUGGGACUGAGACACGGCCCAGACUCCUACGGGAGGCAGCAGUGGGGAAUUUUGGACAAUGGGGGCAACCCUGAUCCAGCCAUGCCGCGUGCGGGAAGAAGGCCUUCGGGUUGUAAACCGCUUUUGUUCGGGAAGAAAUCCUCUGGGCUAAUACCCCGGGGGGAUGACGGUACCGGAAGAAUAAGCACCGGCUAACUACGUG
rnacentral:rRNA from 1 species